rnacentral:snRNA from 1 species
CUACGGUACCUUAACUGAUGU